AGUGAACGCUGGCGGUAGGCCUAACACAUGCAAGUCGAACGGCAGCACAGGAGAGCUUGCUCUCUGGGUGGCGAGUGGCGGACGGGUGAGGAAUACAUCGGAAUCUACUUUUUCGUGGGGGAUAACGUAGGGAAACUUACGCUAAUACCGCAUACGACCUACGGGUGAAAGCAGGGGACCUUCGGGCCUUGCGCGAUUGAAUGAGCCGAUGUCGGAUUAGCUAGUUGGCGGGGUAAAGGCACACCAAGGCGACGAGCCGUAGCUGGUCUGAGAGGAUGAUCAGCCACACUGGAACUGAGACACGGUCCAGACUCCUACGGGAGGCAGCAGUGGGGAAUAUUGGACAAUGGGCGCAAGCCUGAUCCAGCCAUACCGCGUGGGUGAAGAAGGCCUUCGGGUUGUAAAGCCCUUUUGUUGGGAAAGAAAUCCAGCUGGCUAAUACCCGGUUGGGAUGACGGUACCCAAAGAAUAAGCACCGGCUAACUUCGUGCCAGCCGCCGCCGCAA
rnacentral:rRNA from 1 species